UCCCCUACGGGGCGCAGCAGUGAGGAAUAUUGGUCAAUGGCCGGGAGGCUGAACCAGCCAAGUCGCGUGAGGGAAGACGGCCCUACGGGUUGUAAACCUCUUUUGUCAGGGAGCAAGAGGCGGGUCGAGACCUGCUGUGAGAGUACCUGAAGAAAAAGCAUCGGCUAACUCCGUGCCAGCAGCCGCGGUAAUACGGAGGAUGCGAGCGUUAUCCGGAUUUAUUGGGUUUAAAGGGUGCGCCGGCGGAGG
rnacentral:rRNA from 1 species